rnacentral:rRNA from 1 species
AGUGAACGCUGGCGGCAGGCCUAACACAUGCAAGUCGAGCGGCAGCGCGGGGGCAACCCUGGCGGCGAGCGGCGGACGGGUGAGGAAUUCGUCGGAAUCUGCCUUUUUGUGGGGGAUAACGUAGGGAAACUUACGCUAAUACCGCAUACGUCCUACGGGAGAAAGUGGGGGACCGCAAGGCCUCACGCAGAAAGAUGAGCCGACGACCGAUUAGCUAGUUGGUGGGGUAAAGGCCCACCAAGGCGACGAUCGGUAGCUGGUCUGAGAGGAUGAUCAGCCACACUGGGACUGAGACACGGCCCAGACUCCUACGGGAGGCAGCAGUGGGUAAUAUUGGACAAUGGGCGCAAGCCUGAUCCAGCCAUGCCGCGUGUGUGAAGAAGGCCUUCGGGUUGUAAAGCACUUUUGUCCGGAAAGAAAUCCCUGGAGCUAAUACCUUCGGGGGAUGACGGUACCGGAAGAAUAAGCACCGGCUAACUUCGUG